rnacentral:lncRNA from 1 species
UUAUUUGAGCCUUUAUAUCCUUUAUUGAAACUCUUAGCUAGGCUACAAUACAAGCUCUAAAGACCUUGCCGAAAAUUCGAUUUGCCUAAGGUAUGUAUCAAGGCAAAGAAACGCUAACUCUAAUAAAUUUCAUUAAGUUUUGAUAAAAAUAUUUAAUCUUUUAAUGCAUCAAAUUAAAUUUCAUUAUCUCAUCACCACCACUGCCACAUCAACACUCAAAACAAAAAUCCAAAUUUGCAUGAUCGUUGUUUUUUAGUAUUUCUUUUUAAAGAGUUGUGCAUGUAGAAAACACGUGACAAGUAGAAAUCAAAAGAAAGGUGGCAAUCCAAACUAGGGAAGAUUAUGGGGUGGAUCUCAUUUCUCAAAUGAAAGUACUAAGAAACUUAUAAUAGGAGCAAGGUUGAAGUUGCUCAUCAUGGAUCAGUCCAAAAUCCCUCAACUAAGUAGAGGCAAGUUCUUGUGUUCUCACCUUUAAACUUCAAGGGCGACACAAGAUUUCAUAUACAUAUGACUAUCACACUUAAGGGUGUUCAAAAAUAGUCAAAACAAGCAAAAACAAAUAAAAAGAAAAGAGUGCUAGGUUGAAAACCCACAAGCGCAGCCUAAGAAAAGGAGAGCGAUGCUAAAUCGAAAAGCUUCAACAAUGACUUAGUAUCAUAAUAAAAAGAGAGAAUUCCUGACAAAUACCUACACUACAUAUUCUGGGCAAAAAUUAUGGAAGAGAAAUGAACACCCUCAAGUGAAAAUUCACUAUUGCUCAUCCUCAACUAGGCAAAUGGGGCAAAAAAAAUUGAAGUCGUGGAAAGAUUCUCAUCAAGUCUAUGACAAAGAUAGUAGGGCAAUUUAUUGGAUGAUCUUAAUCUUCCAAUUAAUUCUUAACAUGACACUAAGGCAAAAUAGAUGGCAAGGCGCUGAGAGAUAGUCCCCUUUAACUUUCUUUCGAGUCCAUAAAAAAACAAUUUGUUUGAUUUUUAGAAAAUCACGAGAUCAUAAACUAAGACAUCUACGCAUAUAUUCAUUACUCAUACAUGAUAUCACUAACAUCAUUCUCAACAAAACACACGACAUAUUCUCAAGCAUUCAUAUCACUACUGUACACAUUUUAAAAAGUUUCGCUUUCCAGGACCCUGAGCCUGAUGUGCUUUCAAUUAAUCUUUUGAGGACCCCUAGCCUGAUGUGAAUUUUCGAAUUCCGGCAAUACCCCAAUAUGCGUUCUCGUUUAAAAUCUUUGCUUUCUAGGACCACGAGCCUGAUGUACUUUAAAUCAAUCUUUCCAAGACCUCGAGUCUAGUGUGCUUUCAAUCAAUCUUUCUAGGACCCCGAGCCUGAUAAAAACAACUAUGGGGAUGUUAAAAGGUGGAACUAAACAAUUUCAAAUUAUUAUUAGUUCAGUUACUCACACUAUAAUUACAACAAUUAGGAUUGGCAAAUCUCCUAGACGGUUUCAAAAGAGUAGUAAAAAAACAAAAGUCUUGGUACGUUUCCAUUCAGAAUUGGAAGCUUAAGAGUCUAUCAUCAGAAUUCUCAUCCAACAAAGAAGGGGACAACAUACACAAUAGAAAAAGAGAGGAAUACAUACAGAGAAGAAGGGGAGAAAAAUGAAAAACCAAUUCUUUUCAUCAACCUCACUACACUUGUCAUCCUUUCUUUAUCCUAUCAUCCCUAAAAAAAUUUAGCAUAUCAUAUCUACAUCUACUAUCUAUCACACACGCAUAUAAACAAUUUCACCAGAACUCAUUCAUAUCAUACCCAACAACACAUGCAAUUGUUAUAGAGAGACACACUUGUCACAAAGGAGUAUCACAUGACAUACACAUAGAAUAGAAAGUAACACAUUAUACAUAUACACAAGCUAUCACAAACAUCAGAGAAAGAUUCAAAGAAAAAGAAGCAGGACUGAAACAAAAAAAGCAUUCUGAAUUAUAGGUUCAUCAUUUUCCUUACUCAGUCAUACUGAUUUCAUUUUGUGUAUCCCUAUCCUUAUAAGAUUAUAUUAUGUAACACAAACCCAAGAUUUAAUUAAGGGGCUCCUAACAUAUUGAAUCCAAACACACGCAAAAAUGAAGAACAUAAGUUAUGAUAGUUCUAAUGGGAUAAGCCAAUUUGAGAUAAUUGUAGAUCUAGUCAGUAAGCAAGAAUAAUCUCCCUAUGUGACAGGGUUUCAUGUCUCACCGCCAUGUAAAUUGUUGGCUCUGUAUAGACCUAUUCAAACCCUGGCCAGGGUCAUGGCUGUGUCAUAGAGUAAACCACGACUCUGAUUUUCGCAUCUUCGACAUAUAUCAUCUCUUCCCGAGAGAUUCACAUUCGAUUCACAAAAUGGAAAAAAUGUAAAAAUAAAGAAGAUGAUUACCCGUUUACAAUGUCACCUUGCUCUGGUUGUGAAUAACCCUUGGUCGUGGUCUUCUUUCACCACCAAGAAUCGGGGCCGCCUUGCUCACUGGUCAAGAAUCAUUGUGAGUUGUCGCUAGAGAAGAGAAGAAAGGAGAAGACGACCUAGUAGUUGUGUUGUAUGCCAAGGAAGUCGUUGACGUGUUCCACCGACAACCCAUGUCCAUCUUCAUCGGAGAGGAGAUGAGAAGAAUUUAGGGAUUGUCAUUCCCUUUUCGAUUUUCUUUCUUCAUUUAACAUGGUGAAUCGCUUCAC